rnacentral:rRNA from 1 species
UCUUAUGUACAUGCCUACAAUGUUAGUGUAGUAGAUCCCAUUAGAAAUUCGUAGUUAAGUGUGCUUGGCCUAGAGUAGUACUGAGAUGAGUGACCUCCCCAAAAUUCCUAGUGUUUUACAUGCC